AGGGUAGCACAAUGGUAGUGCAUCUCACUUGUAAUGAGACGGUUGCGGGUUCGACUCCUGUUCCU
rnacentral:tRNA from 1 species